rnacentral:tRNA from 1 species
GCCAGCGUGGUGUAGUGGUUUGAGUGUUGAACCAGGACUCUGGAAACCAGGGUUCAAUUCCCUGCUCGGCCA